CCUACGGGGGGCUGCAGUAACGAAUCUUCCGCAAUGCACGAAAGUGUGACGGAGCGACGCCGCGUGGAGGACGAAGUUCUUCGGAAUGUAAACUCCUGUCAGGGGUUAGAAAGUUCUGAUCAACCCCAGAGGAAGGCACGGCUAACUCUGUGCCAGCAGCCGCGGUAAGACAGAGGUGCCAAGCGUUAGGCGGAAUCACUGGGCUUAAAGCGUGUGUAGGCGGACGGCUAAGUACCUUGUGAAAUCCCACGGCUCAACCGUGGAACUGCUUGGUAUACUGGUCGUCUUGAGCCACCUAGGGGCAAGCGGAACAAGUGGUGGAGCGGUGAAAUGCGUAGAUAUCACUUGGAACGCCAAUGGUGAAAACAGCUUGCUGGGGGUGUGCUGACGCUGAGACACGAAAGCCAGGGGAGCGAACGGGAUUAGAUACCCUGGUAGUC
rnacentral:rRNA from 1 species